GAUAAACGCUGGCGGCGUGCAUGAGACAUGCAAGUCGAACGAAGGAUCGGGCUUGCUCGAUCCUUAGUGGCGGACGGCUGAGUAACGCGUAGGUGACCUACCCCGAAGUGGGGAAUAACUGCCCGAAAGGGUGGCUAAUACCGCAUGUGGUCGCACGUUCAUUCGUGCGAGUAAAGCCGCAAGGCGCUUCGGGAGGGGCCUGCGUCCGAUUAGCUCGUUGGUGGGGUAAUGGCUUACCAAGGCGACGAUCGGUAGGUGGUCUGAGAGGACGAUCACCCAGACUGGGACUGAGACACGGCCCAGACUCCUACGGGAGGCAGCAGUCGGGAAUUUUGCUCAAUGGGGGAAACCCUGAAGCAGCAACGCCGCGUGAGGGAUGAAGGCCUUCGGGUUGUAAACCUCUUUUGUCAGGGACGAUGAUGACGGUACCUGGCGAAUAAGCCACGGCUAACUACGUG
rnacentral:rRNA from 1 species